ACAAACUUUUUUUUUCAGUUCCCCAUGUAUUAUACUUGAAGAAGCUUCAAAUGUCAGAUAAUUCUAAUGAAGUAGCAAUAUUUUUUUUAUCGGUAGCGUUCUUCGUUUAUGUUUUAGCUGACGAAUGCUUGAUAGACGAGGCACUCCUAACAGCAAUGAAACAUAUCAAACUGCUUACGAGUUUAAUAAUAAAAAAGUCAAUCGUGCUUAUCGAAAUUCUUUUUCGAAUAGUCUUCAGGUGGAGGAGAGGCAGCGAGAGCUGAAUAAGGAGAGUCGAUUUCCGCAUCAUAAGUACCGCGGGUGUUUUGGGGGUUUUCGGAAUAUACAUUUUCAUCCAAAAAGGAUUUAAGUUGUGUAAAUGAUUGCUUAGCACCUUCCUGAACGUUACUAGAGAAAUUAUUAAUGGCAUUCAUGUAAUCCUUCCUUGUUUCGGGAUCUUGAACCUAAAAACAGAGUCAGUACAACAGAAACUUUAUUUUUUGGAUACAAUAAAAUGUUUGUACCUUUGUAAUCCCUGGCUGAAUAUAGGACUUAUUUACGUCUUGAAUCUGUUGGGAAACAGAUCUGGAGAACAUGUUCCAACCAUGACUAAGUGCAGAAACAGGAUUAGAUGAUAAUUGGUCCAAAAAAGAGCCACCGUUAUUUCUAGCAGAAGAAUUGGGAUUAACAGAGUUAGAGCUUCCAAACCCUUGAUAGCGACCUCCUUGUGAAGGGGGUAAAUCAUCAGGGCGUUGGGAAUUAAUGGAACCAAGCUUUGCAAAAUAUUUAUCAUUUGCUUCUUUUGAAACUGAUGGAAUAGUUGGAACAGUUGAAGAUGAAGUUACAGAAGCAUGAGAGGAAACGCUCUUAGGACGAUCAACUUUGACCCAUUCGACACCAUCUACUUCGGCACGAAUUUUUUGUCGUAGGUCCUCAGCAAUGUCGGUAUUGUACUUAAAAUGUGUUAGUCAAUGUGAAUAAAAUCAAAAUAAGGUAAACUGGAAAAAAUAUAGAAGGUUCAAAGAUCAUACUUUUUCACGAAUACUUCCGGCAGCAGAAAACAUCGGGUCUGUAGACAAGAAUGUUUUAGCAUUAGAAUUUCCACCAACCUGUAUAGAAGUUAGUCAGGAGCAUGCAACAAAUGUGGGCUAUAUAUGUUGUUUCAAGUCAUUGAUGAAAUUAUAGUGAGCUUGCAUUUUAUAACUUCAGGUGAUAAUCAAUUGCGCGUCAUGUACUUGUUUUUAACAUUAAACAUUAUUCUUGUCAAAAAAAGGCACUAAAUGACUUGGAAAAAAUUCGAAAUAGCGGCAAGCAAACUCGCAGAUCAAUAGCGCUACCCUCUCAGCCAAAUGAAUUAUUAUAUAUAUAUGUUUUUUUUUUGGUAAAAUAACCAACAAACUCCAAUAGCCCGUAUCAAUCCUGAUGCUUACCUCCAUCAUCUUCACUUGACGUUCACUCCAAUUGUCCAUGGUAAUACUGCGGACAAAGCUCUUUUCGACUCCCAAACCACGAUGCUGUCCACUGCAAUCCAAACAAAUGAAGAUUCCCAAAUUACAAGAUGCCCAUUGUGGAUUUGGAGCAUCACAAUCAAAACAUUUCUUGUUUUCAGGAAGACGAGUGAGUUGGUCUAAUUUAUACGACAUUUUUUAUUAGAUUAUUUAAACAACCAACUCAUUAAUUGUAGUUUGUUCUAAGUGACUUUGAAAUUUCGUUAUUUUCAUGUCUCACCAUGGUGUGAGAUUUUAUGGAAGUGCGUAAGAAAACGUUAAAGAUCUGGUGAAACGUAUUCCAAGUAUAUAAAAUCAAAACAUGAAGGAAAUAAAUAUGUCGUGCAGUUGAAUGCAUUUAUGAGUUUCAACUUUUUCUUGUUUUUGAUCCAUACUGUUUAAAAUACCAGCAUCUAGUUUCUUGGAAAGCUUACGGUAUUAUUUUGAGCAAUUUUCAUAUCUGUCUAAGAGUUCAUUGACCUUCAAAAUAAAUAGAUUAAAGAGAUUAUUCAAGUUACAAUAAGUUUGGUUUAAGAAAAUGCAAAUUAGUUUAAACAAUCCUCUCGUUUUUGAAACAAACUGAUAAUUCAGUGAUUUUUGACUACAAAUAGAAAUUCAGAAAUUACUGUGUUCCUCGCUUGUUAAAGGUAUGUAGCAGAAAAUCUCUUAUGAGUUGGCUACCUCUUAAGUUGUAUCGUCUUUAUGAACUUAACGACUUUUUUAAGGACUAUAGAGGACUAGAAGCUUGAAACUACAAAACUAGACUAGUAAAAAGGUUAUACCCUUAUAAAUUUGAGUGAAUACAUCCACUACUUCCAUU
rnacentral:lncRNA from 1 species